GGGAAUUCAUUUUACUAUUUAAGAUCUAAAAUUUUAAGAUAUAAAAUGGGGUCACAUUUUUCAACUGAUUUUUUAAAAAAUGUUUCCACUUAGAACUUUUCUGGUUAAAGUAAACAUGUUUGCAAUGACAAUUAAGCUAUCAAAUAUUUUAUUAUGGCUGUUUUAUCUGUUACCACAAUUACAUAAAUUAAAACAAGUACAAGCUUGUUAACUUCUCUGUUAAACUAAUAUGAACCAUGAUUAAACUUAGAACACUCUUUUUAAUGUGAAAGACUUAGUAAAGAGAAGUCCCAAUUAUCUGCCUUACAAUUCAGCAUUUGGAAACUACAG
rnacentral:lncRNA from 1 species